rnacentral:tRNA from 1 species
GUCCCCAUGGCGCAGUGGAAAGCGCACUGGACUUCUAAUCCAGAGGUCGUGGGUUCGAAUCCCACUGGGGAUG